GCCCAAUGCAGGGCUUGAACUCAUGACCCUGAGAUGAAGACCUGAGCUGAGAUCCAGAGUCAGAUGCUCAACCAACUGAGCCACCCAGUCGUCCCUCCAACACUUAUUAUUUUCUGUCCUUUGGAUCAUAGCCAUCCCAGCAGAGGAGUGGAUAAAAAGUAUGUUUAUAAAGGGACGACCUAGGGAAGGGGGAACUUGAUGACACAGGAGAUGUUGGGGUCUCUGGAGGAGCGAAGCCCGCAGAAGAGGAGAGAGAGAAUGAGGGGUCUCGGCCUCAAGGCAAUGGACUGGCUUUGGAUGGAGAAGGGAAGGGUGCUUCAACCCCCUCCGCUGGCUUGGAGAAGAGGAGGCUGGUGGAACAGCAGGAGACAAAACAAGGCGUCCGGCAAGGCCCCUCUUACCCUUCCAGAUGGCCACCUCUGAUACGGCUUGAAGUACCUACUGUGACCCUGUCCUCGGUGCCCACAGCUCGGCACAUAAGGGCCUGGGCGUGUGAGCUCGUGGUGUGAGAGGACCCGGGCGGGCGUGUGAAAACCCAGGGCCCAGGAACCGUGUCUGCUUACCAGGUGUCGUUGAACACCACACGCCUGUGAACAUGUUGAGGAGAGCGGCAGGUGGGGGUGCUCUGCAACGCGGGGACAGGCCCAGGGCCAGGAAAUGGUGUCUGCCCUUCGCCAUAAACGGUCAGCCGGCACUUUGAACCAGGUUUAUGGCCUUGGCCGGGUUCCCGCCUUCGGAGGUCUCAGACUGUACAUCAUCCCAAAGUCCGGGCCGCUUGGAGGUGGGCGAAGAGAGGAGGACAGUUCACGCCGCCAAAAUCAGAUGAAGACGAACAUCCCGAGUGGCCCUGGCGGGGCGAGAAGCCACACAGGGCUGUGUGAUUUGCGGCUUCCUGUUCUGGCAUUCCUGACGGCAGGAAUGGGGCAGGAGGAAGAGGGUUCUGAUCCCUGGAAACUGCAGGGGUGGUCAGGUCUGUUUUUAGCCUCUGCUGGGGGUGGGGGUGGGGGUGGCUGGCUCCCUUGUCCCCUCCUACUCUUGGCUGACCCCUGGGCAGCUGGGCCCGGAGUGGCGGGCAGGGCCUUUCUUGUUC